GCGGCAACAGCUCAAAUUUGAAAUCUGGCCCUCGGGUCCGAGUUGUAAUUUGUAGAGGAUGCUUUUGGUGCGGUGCCUUCCGAGUUCCCUGGAACGGGACGCCAUAGAGGGUGAGAGCCCCGUCUGGUUGGACACCAAGCCUCUGUAAAGCUCCUUCGACGAGUCGAGUAGUUUGGGAAUGCUGCUCUAAAUGGGAGGUAUAUGUCUUCUAAAGCUAAAUACCGGCCAGAGACCGAUAGCGCACAAGUAGAGUGAUCGAAAGAUGAAAAGCACUUUGAAAAGAGGGUUAAAUAGUACGUGAAAUUGUUGAAAGGGAAGCGCUUAUGACCAGACUUGAGCCCGGUUAAUCAUCCAGCCUUCUGGCUGGUGCACUUGGCCGGCUCAGGCCAGCAUCAGUUCGGCGCGGGGGAUAAAGGCUUCGGGAAUGUGGCUCCUCCGGGAGUGUUAUAGCCCGUUGCGCAAUACCCUGCGCUGGACUGAGGUUCGCGCAUCUGCAAGGAUGCUGGCGUAAUGGUCAUCAGCGACCCGUCUUGAAACACGGACCAAGGAGUCGUCUUCGUAUGCGAGUGUUCGGGUGUCAAACCCCUACGCGUAAUGAAAGUGAACGCAGGUGAGAGCUUCGGCGCAUCAUCGACCGAUCCUGAUGUUCUCGGAUGGAUUUGAGUAAGAGCAUACGGGGCCGGACCCGAAAGAAGGUGAACUAUGCCUGUAUAGGGUGAAGCCAGAGGAAACUCUGGUGGAGGCUCGCAGCGG
rnacentral:rRNA from 1 species